GGGAAGGUGGCUCAGUGGUUGAGUGCUUACCUUGCAUGCAAGAGGCCCUGGGUUCGAUUCCUCAGCCCCA
rfam:Dipodomys ordii contig_31864, whole genome shotgun sequence.